UGUCCAACGUUAAUCGGGGCAGGGUGAGUCGACCCCUAAGGCGAGGCCGAAAGGCGUAGUCGAUGGGAAACAGGUUAAUAUUCCUGUACUUGGUGUUACUGCGAAGGGGGGGACGGAGAAGGCUAUGUUAGCCGGGCGACGGUUGUCCCGGUUUAAGCAUGUAGGCUGGUUGUCCAGGCAAAUCCGGAUAAUCAAGGCUGAGGUGUGAUGACGAGGUACUACGGUGCUGAAGUAACAAAUGCCCUGCUUCCAGGAAAAGCCUCUAAGCAUCAGGUAACAUCAAAUCGUACCCCAAACCGACACAGGUGGUCAGGUAGAGAAUACCAAGGCGCUUGAGAGAACUCGGGUGAAGGAACUAGGCAAAAUGGUGCCGUAACUUCGGGAGAAGGCACGCUGGUGUGUAGGUGAAGUCCCUGCGGAUGGAGCUGAGACCAGUCGAAGAUACCAGCUGGCUGCAACUGUUUAUUAAAAACACAGCACUGUGCAAACACGAAAGUGGACGUAUACGGUGUGACGCCUGCCCGGUGCCGGAAGGUUAAUUGAUGGGGUUAUCCGUAAGGAGAAGCUCUUGAUCGAAGCCCCGGUAAACGGCGGCCGUAACUAUAACGGUCCUAAGGUAGCGAAAUUCCUUGUCGGGUAAGUUCCGACCUGCACGAAUGGCGUAAUGAUGGCCAGGCUGUCUCCACCCGAGACUCAGUGAAAUUGAACUCGCUGUGAAGAUGCAGUGUACCCGCGGCAAGACGGAAAGACCCCGUGAACCUUUACUAUAGCUUGACACUGAACAUUGAGCCUUGAUGUGUAGGAUAGGUGGGAGGCUUUGAAGCGUGGACGCCAGUCUGCGUGGAGCCAACCUUGAAAUACCACCCUUUAAUGUUUGAUGUUCUAACGUUGGCCCCUUACCGGGGUUGCGGACAGUGUCUGGUGGGUAGUUUGACUGGGGCGGUCUCCUCCCAAAGCGUAACGGAGGAGCACGAAGGUUAGCUAAUCCUGGUCGGACAUCAGGAGGUUAGUGCAAUGGCAUAAGCUAGCUUGACUGCGAGCGUGACGGCGCGAGCAGGUGCGAAAGCAGGUCAUAGUGAUCCGGUGGUUCUGAAUGGAAGGGCCAUCGCUCAACGGAUAAAAGGUACUCCGGGGAUAACAGGCUGAUACCGCCCAAGAGUUCAUAUCGACGGCGGUGUUUGGCACCUCGAUGUCGGCUCAUCACAUCCUGGGGCUGAAGUAGGUCCCAAGGGUAUGGCUGUUCGCCAUUUAAAGUGGUACGCGAGCUGGGUUUAGAACGUCGUGAGACAGUUCGGUCCCUAUCUGCCGUGGGCGCUGGAGAAUUGAGGGGGGCUGCUCCUAGUACGAGAGGACCGGAGUGGACGCAUCACUGGUGUUCGGGUUGUCAUGCCAAUGGCACUGCCCGGUAGCUAAAUGCGGAAGAGAUAAGUGCUGAAAGCAUCUAAGCACGAAACUUGCCCCGAGAUGAGUUCUCCCUGAGACUUUAAGUCUCCUGAAGGAACGUUAAAGACGAUGACGUUGAUAGGCCGGGUGUGUAAGCGCAGCGAUGCGUUGAGCUAACCGGUACUAAUGAACCGUGAGGCUUAACCUUACAACGCCGAAG
rnacentral:rRNA from 1 species